UGGCGUUGGUCUAUGCGUCUUCUUUUCUAGACAAAUAACCUUUCUCUCGAACAGGUUAGAUGUUAGAAUGGCGUGUUCUUGUGUUUGAACCGCAAAGAAUGUAGAUUUAAGAUGAAGAGAAUAAUGAUAUAAGCAAUAUACUUGUCUUGAACUCACAAACUCAUAGCUAUAGAUAGUAACUCAUUCGGCUUCCAUAACCCCAACUAAGAGAUUUAGUUACCCAUGAAUGC
rnacentral:lncRNA from 1 species